rnacentral:rRNA from 1 species
UGGGGAAUAUUGCACAAUGGGCGCAAGCCUGAUGCAGCCAUGCCGCGUGUAUGAAGAAGGCCUUCGGGUUGUAAAGUACUUUCAGCGGGGAGGAAGGUGUUGAGGUUAAUAACCUCAGCAAUUGACGUUACCCGCAGAAGAAGCACCGGCUAACUCCGUGCCAGCAGCCGCGGUAAUACGGAGGGUGCAAGCGUUAAUCGGAAUUACUGGGCGUAAAGCGCACGCAGGCGGUCUGGCAAGUCGGAUGUGAAAUCCCCGGGCUCAACCUGGGAACUGCAUUCGAAACUGGCAGGCUAGAGUCUUGUAGAGGGGGGUAGAAUUCCAGGUGUAGCGGUGAAAUGCGUAGAGAUCUGGAGGAAUACCGGUGGCGAAGGCGGCCCCCUGGACAAAGACUGACGCUCAGGUGCGAAAGCGUGGGGAGCAAACA